AACUCCUCAGUAAGGAAAAUAGCUAUUGGCUCUCCUAAAAGUUGCUAAAUUACGUAAUCGCCUAAUUUGCAUAGUUGACCAUGUGAAUGUAAUUGUGAUGGACGCUGUAGGAGAGAGAAAUAACAUCGUGGGAGAGACAACAACUCAAAUGGGGAGGCCACAAUCAGCCUGGUACCAGCAACACAACCAGAGAAGGAAGUCAAGCACGACGUCAAUGAUGCUGUGCUUCAGGAGUGAGUUGCUGAGGUGCAGCAGUGGCCUGAAGCAGGAGAGGUAAAAGGCCGCCACCACCUACUUCAGGAACAGCCUGGUUUCCUGACGUUGACACUUGACCCCUCACCUCUGAACCUAUCCAGGGAAAUAUGAUUUGCCUGAUGACACGCUAGUCAUUUCUUCCGGUCCUAGACUAUGGCGACAUCAUCAUCAAUUCAGAAAUUGAUCUGGGGACCUCUUUACUGAGGAAUGUGGUUGUUCUACAUGAUUGUUGUUUGUAUUUUCUAUGCUGCUGUUAUUUAUGUGUAAUUGUGAGUUGCAAAAGAGUCUUUGGUCUCAAUGGGACUGGUUAAAUAAAUGUCUUAAUAAACAUUCAUUAAGCACUAACA